rnacentral:rRNA from 1 species
UGGCGACCGGCGCACGGGUGAGUAACGCGUAUCCAACCUGCCCUUUACUAUGGGACAGUCCGUCGAAAGGCGGAUUAAUACCGUAUGUUGUCAUGUUGAUGCAUAUUUUCAUGACCAAAGGCUUCGGCCGGUAAAGGAUGGGGAUGCGUCUGAUUAGCUUGCCGGCGGGGUAACGGCCCACCGGGGCGACGAUCAGUAGGGGUUCUGAGAGGAAGGUCCCCCACAUUGGAACUGAGACACGGUCCAAACUCCUACGGGAGGCAGCAG